GAAACCGCGAUGGCCUCGAGGAAACCCACAGCUAUGAUGGAGCACCCGACUCCAAACUCCUCCAGCAGCUUCACUACGUAGGCACCACCCUGUCAAUAACAUGUCAGAAUCAGUGAUAACACCACCCAUCAUCGCCACAAUUUGUCCUUCGCAGCUCGUACCGUGGAGUCCAGUCCCAGCGUGAUCAUCAUCACAAAAAAGAUGAUUGCAAAGAAGGUGGAGCCCAUCAUGUUCGCGAUGGCCUCUGGGUACGUGAUGAAGAGUAAACUUGGUCCUGAACGCAUGAGGAUAUUGAUCACGAAGAGAACAAGCCCAGAACUGUGAAGAUGACGAAGCCCGACACGAAGCUGGUCAGACAGUUCACUAAACUGGUCACGAUGGCGUCGCUGUCGAGGACGAAAACAAACACACACAACACAAUUACUCCGAGCAAGCAACCAUCGUGUGACGAUACUAAUGGAGAUACACAAAUCCUCUGUUCCCAGGAAGGCCCAGCAGAAAUAUUCAUAACUGGUUUUAAAUACAUUCACAUCUGUUUUCACAACUCACACAAAUGAUCAGAAAUGACUUGGAACACUAUCAUUUCUUCAGUGUUAGUUCAGAGUAGAUAGUUACUGGAAAAAUCAUGUACGACGUCACAUCAGUUGAAAUUACGUACGUACUCAGCCGUCAGGCCUUUUGUAGGUGGAGCCCGUCGAUGAGAGAAAUCACUCUGAUUGGCUGUUCAGCUAAGCGAAUCAGUGCACGAGAAAAGAAGCGUAAAAAAAACAGGGGAAGCCCUCCGAGCCCGUCGCUGUGGUUUCCAUGAUUUCACCCAUCUACGGUUGUUCACCUCAUGUUUCUUAUUAGUACCAAAUAUUAAUUAGAACCAAUUCUUUAUUGGUGCU